UAGUGUUCUGCUCCUUGGCCAUGCAAACAACGUAAGAUGAUGUUCUUUAUGGAUGAGAAUAUUGGGCAAUCUCCAAAGUAAACUUUAGACAGUGUCUGAUUGGUGGGUGGCUUCGGCAAAUAUAUGUCUUCAACUGGUUGAUAUUUUGAUGACUCAUGAUUGCUUCAGCACAGGUAUUACCGAACGGCAAGUUGGGGGACGUUGAUCAAAGGGGUGCCGAAGGGCACGGAAGAAGGGAGAACGACAGAAGCCUUUUGUGUCAUUUCCCACAGACGGCGCCAAACUGUUGAUGCUCAAAAUGGCCCGGCCAAUAGUGAGUCCAACUUAGUGAUUAGGUAUGCGGGGUCUUCAGCAGGGAAGAGAGCUGAGGCCCUUGGUGAAAUAUAGGUUGAUGGGAAACCUGCAGAAGACAAAGUGGGAGAAGCAAUCGUUAAGCUUCGGACACCGGUGUGGUGCCGGCCGAAGGCUCUCCGAUGCCUAAGUCAGUUACAAGUAGUAAUUCUGGCAGAGUAACAGUAAAAGUGGGAGAAUAGUUGUUCUUUUUACCUGGGUACUGUUCCCUAUUUAUAGGGAGGUGAAAGUAGGAGGUUUGCACAAAGUUCCGAUGUGGGACUUUGUGCAAGUCGUCGUGGUGGCGACACGUGUCCUGGAGAUUAGGUUUGGCAGCUGGGAGCUUCGGUAGGUGUCUGGCACCUCGGAAGUGUGUCUUCCUUCGGCACAGGAGAAGGCGUGGCUGCCUUGGUGCUAGUCACUUUGGUGCUGGGUCUACUCGGUUCAUUAUGGUGUAAACAGUCAUUAAGCUAACAAAAAAGAUAACGAUUUUUGCUAUAGAAAAACGAAAGAUAAGUUGAUGAAAUUUAAG
rnacentral:lncRNA from 1 species